GAGCGCUGUGCUGUCAGUAUUUGUUUGGAGGCCAGCGGCGCAGGGCUGAAGGCCCACAGGCAGAGCGAUCAUGUCGCACAAGCAAAUUUACUAUUCGGACAAAUACGACGACGAGGAGUUCGAGUACCAGCAUGUCAUGUUGCCCAAGAACAUAGCCAAGCUGGUCCCUAAAACCCAUUUGAUGUCUGAAUCUGAAUGGAGGAAUCUUGGCGUUCAGCAGAGUCAGGGAUGGGUCCAUUAUAUGAUCCAUGAACCAGAACCUCACAUCUUGCUGUUCCGGCGCCCACUACCCAAGAAGCGAAAGAAAUGAAGCUGGCGAGCCACUUUUCAGCCUCAGGCUUUACACAGCUGUCCUUACUUUCUAACAUCUUUCUGAUAACAUUAUUACAUUGCCUUCUUGUUUCUCACUUUGAUAUUUAAAGGAUGUUCAAUACACUGCUUGAAUGUGCUGGUAACUGCUUUACUUCCUGAGUAGAGCCAACCACCACAGCCCA